rnacentral:rRNA from 1 species
AGACGUCUACAUUAGAUACCCCCGGUAGUCCUAGCCGUAAACGAUACUCGCUAGGUGUCGGCCACGGUGCGACCGUUGUCGGUGCCGUAGGGAAGCCGUGAAGCGAGCCACCUGGGAAGUACGGCCGCAAGGCUGAAACUUAAGGAAUUGGCGGGGGAGCACCACAACGGGUGGAGCUUGCGGUUUAAUUGGAUUCAACGCCGGAAAUCUUACCGGGACCGACAGCAACAUGAAGGCCAGGCUGAAGACUUUGCCGGAUUAGCUG